rnacentral:rRNA from 1 species
GACGAACGCUGGCGGCGUGCCUAACACAUGCAAGUCGAACGGAAAGGCCCUGCUUUUGUGGGGUGCUCGAGUGGCGAACGGGUGAGUAACACGUGAGUAACCUGCCCUUGACUUUGGGAUAACUUCAGGAAACUGGGGCUAAUACCGGAUAGGAGCUCCUGCUGCAUGGUGGGGGUUGGAAAGUUUCGGCGGUUGGGGAUGGACUCGCGGCUUAUCCGCUUGUUGGUGGGGUAGUGGCUUACCAAGGCUGUGACGGGUAGCCGGCCUGAGAGGGUGACCGGCCACAUUGGGACUGAGAUACGGCGCAGACUCCUACGGGAGGCAGUAGUGGGGAAUAUUGCACAAUGGGCGGAAGCCUGAUGCAGAAACGCCGCGUGCGGGAUGACGGCCUUCGGGUUGUAAACCGCUUUCGCAUGUGACGAAGCGUGAGUGACGGUAAUGGGUAAAGAAGCACCGGCUAACUACGUG